rnacentral:rRNA from 1 species
AGUGAACGCUGGCGGUAGGCCUAACACAUGCAAGUCGAACGGCAGCACAGUAAGAGCUUGCUCUUACGGGUGGCGAGUGGCGGACGGGUGAGGAAUACAUCGGAAUCUACUUUUUCGUGGGGGAUAACGUAGGGAAACUUACGCUAAUACCGCAUACUACCUACGGGUGAAAGCAGGGGGUCUUCGGACCUUGCGCGAUUGAAUGAGCCGAUGUCGGAUUAGCUAGUUGGCGGGGUAAAGGCCCACCAAGGCGACGAUCCGUAGCUGGUCUGAGAGGAUGAUCAGCCACACUGGAACUGAGACACGGUCCAGACUCCUACGGGAGGCAGCAGUGGGGAAUAUUGGACAAAGGGCGAAAGCCUGAUCCAGCCAUACCGCGUGGGUGAAGAAGGCCUUCGGGUUGUAAAGCCCUUUUGUUGGGAAAGAAAAGCAGCAGGUUAAUACCCCGCUGUUCUGACGGUACCCAAAGAAUAAGCACCGGCUAACUUCGUG